rnacentral:rRNA from 1 species
AUUGAACGCUGGCGGCAUGCUUUACACAUGCAAGUCGAACGGUAACAGGCCGCAAGGUGCUGACGAGUGGCGAACGGGUGAGUAAUGCAUCGGAACGUGCCCAGUCGUGGGGGAUCACGCCGCGAAAGCUGCGCUAAUACCGCAUACGAUCUAUGGAUGAAAGCGGGGGACCGUAAGGCCUCGCGCGAUUGGAGCGGCCGAUGUCGGAGUAGGUAGUUGGUGGGGUAAAGGCUCACCAAGCCGGCGAUCUGUAGCUGGGAUGAGAGGACGACCAGCCACACUGGGACUGAGACACGGCGCAGACUCCUACGGGAGGCAGCAGUGGGGAAUUUUGGACAAUGGGCGCAAGCCUGAUCCAGCAAUGCCGCGUGCAGGAAGAAGGCCUUCGGGUUGUAAACUGCUUUUGUACGGAACGAAAAGGCUCUGGUUAAUACCUGGGGCUCAUGACGGUACCGUAAGAAUAAGCACCGGCUAACUACGUGCCAGCAGCCGCGGUAACAC